UACGUAGGGUGCGAGCGUUAAUCGGAAUUACUGGGCGUAAAGCGUGCGCAGGCGGUUUUGUAAGCCAGAUGUGAAAUCCCCGGGCUUAACCUGGGAAUGGCAUUUGGGACUGCAAGGCUCGAGUGCGGCAGAGGAGACUGGAAUUCCUGGUGUAGCGGUGAAAUGCGCAGAUAUCAGGAAGAACACCCGUGGCGAAGGCGGUUCUCUGGGACGGUACUGACGCUGGAGACGCGAAAGCGUGGGGAGCGAACAGG
rnacentral:rRNA from 1 species